GUGGGGAAUAUUGGGCAAUGGGGGCAACCCUGACCCAGCAACGCCGCGUGAGGGAAGAAGGUUUUCGGAUUGUAAACCUCUGUCCUAUGGGAAGAAGGAAGUGACGGUACCAUAGGAGGAAGCCCCGGCUAACUACGUGCCAGCAGCCGCGGUAAUACGUAGGGGGCGAGCGUUGUCCGGAAUUACUGGGCGUAAAGGGUGCGCAGGUGGCCUGACAAGUCAGAUGUGAAAUACCGAUGCUUAACGUCGGGGCUGCAUUUGAAACUAUGAGGCUGGAGUGCAGGAGAGGGAAGCGGAAGUCCUAGUGUAGCGGUGAAAUGCAUAGAUAUUAGGAGGAACACCAGUGGCGAAGGCGGCUUUCUGGACUGUAACUGACACUGAGGCACGAAAGCGUGGGGAGCAAACAGGAUUAGAUACCCGGGUAGUCC
rnacentral:rRNA from 1 species